GAAAUCAUACUAUACAGAAUCAUUUCUGUAGUGUGUGUUUCGCUGUCCCAACCAAAGGGCGACACCUGUCCACCGCGAUGAACGGGAGACGGGCGAGUUGCGAGCGGGAA
rnacentral:snoRNA from 1 species